UAGGGAAUCUUCCGCAAUGGACGCAAGUCUGACGGAGCAACGCCGCGUGAGUGAAGAAGGAUUUCGGUUCGUAAAACUCUGUUGUUAGAGAAGAACAGCGCAUAGAGUAACUGUUAUGCGUGUGACGGUAUCUAACCAGAAAGCCACGGCUAACUACGUGCCAGCAGCCGCGGUAAUACGUAGGUGGCAAGCGUUGUCCGGAUUUAUUGGGCGUAAAGCGAGCGCAGGCGGUCAAUUAAGUCUGAUGUGAAAGCCCCCGGCUCAACCGGGGAGGGUCAUUGGAAACUGGUUGACUUGAGUGCAGAAUAGGAGAUUGGAAUUCCAUGUGUAGCGGUGAAAUGCGUAGAUAUAUGGAGGAACACCAGUGGCGAAGGCGACUCUCUGGUCUGUAACUGACGCUGAGGCUCGAAAGCGUGGGUAGCAAACAGG
rnacentral:rRNA from 1 species